rnacentral:rRNA from 1 species
AGCGAACGCUGGCGGCAGGCCUAACACAUGCAAGUCGAGCGGAAAGGCCCUUCGGGGUACUCGAGCGGCGAACGGGUGAGUAACACGUGAGUAAUCUGCCCUUCACUCUGGGAUAGCCACCGGAAACGGUGAUUAAUACCGGAUACGACCAAUCCCUGCAUGGUUUGUUGGUGGAAACUUUUUUGGGUGGGGGAUGUGCUCGCGGCCUAUCAGCUUGUUGGUGGGGUAAUGGCCUACCAAGGCUUUGACGGGUAGCCGGCCUGAGAGGGUGACCGGCCACACUGGGACUGAGACACGGCCCAGACUCCUACGGGAGGCAGCAGUGGGGAAUAUUGGACAAUGGGCGGAAGCCUGAUCCAGCAACGCCGCGUGAGGGAUGACGGCCUUCGGGUUGUAAACCUCUUUCAGUGCUGACGAAGCUGCCCUCUUGGGUGGUGACGGUAGGUGCAGAAGAAGGACAGGCCAACUACGUGCCAGCCGCCGCAGUAACAC